rnacentral:rRNA from 1 species
GACGAACCGUGCGAACGUUGUUCGGAAUCACUGGGCUUAAAGGGCGCGUAGGCGGACGACCAAGUCAGGGGUGAAAGCCCCCAGCUCAACUGGGGAAGUGCCUUUGAUACUGGUUGUCUCGAGGGAGGUAGGGGCGUGCGGAACUUCCGGUGGAGCGGUGAAAUGCGUAGAUAUCGGAAGGAACGCCGGUGGCGAAAGCGGCGCGCUGGACCUCUUCUGACGCUGAGGCGCGAAAGCUAGGGGAGCAAACGGG